AAAAUUGUGGGGAAGUGACAACGAAAGCUUCGCCUCAAGGUGCUUAAAACAGCCUAACUAGGGUGUAUACUAUCGUAAUUUAACCUUAGGACCGUAUGCGUCCACAGAAUUUGAAGACGUGCGCCUUCAUAAACGCUACCGUACGUGUUUAGCGUAUUGCGAUGAACCCGGGUCACCUGCGCGAAGAAGAAGAGCAAGAAGAUCUGUCGCUCCGUGUUCCCAGCUCCAUGUGUGCAUAAAUCAAAUGGUUGUUCACCAUGGAUCACGAGGAAGACGAGGGCAUCGUCAAGUUUCUCCUGCUCGUGAUGUUCGUGGUGUCGGCGGUGGUCGUCUCGCUUCUAGGGUUCAUGUUGUACGGUUUCCUGCGGAACAUCAACUACAUCGAUUACAGCAGCUAUUCGACUGCACUGCCCAAGUUGGCGCCGCGUUUUGUGGACUGAUUCGCGUGGCCGAAACGGAACUGCGCUUGGAGACAUCCCGCGUCACCAACGGGCCAUGUCACUGUGCAACGUUUAAGCGUUGGCUGUGACUUGUGUAUGUACUCGUUAUAUGUGUAUAAGUUGCAUUGUUGCGCGUUCAGCAAAGAACGACCUUAAUAAAUAUUGCACUACUGCA